GACGAACCGUGCAAACGUUGUUCGGAAUCACUGGGCUUAAAGGGCGCGUAGGCGGGUCUCCCAGUCUGUGGUGAAAUCCUCCAGCUUAACUGGAGAAGUGCCGUGGAUACUGGAGACCUCGAGGAGGGUAGGGGCAUCUGGAACGGUCGGUGGAGCGGUGAAAUGCGUUGAUAUCAAGAGGAACACCUGCGGCGAAGGCGGGUUGCUGGGCCGACGCUGACGCUGAUGCGCGAAAGCCAGGGGAGCGAACGGG
rnacentral:rRNA from 1 species